rnacentral:rRNA from 1 species
GGGUUGUGAGGUUAAGCGACUAAGCGUACACGGUGGAUGCCCUGGCAGUCAGAGGCGAUGAAGGACGUGCUAAUCUGCGAUAAGCGCCGGUAAGGUGAUAUGAACCGUUAUAACCGGCGAUUUCCGAAUGGGGAAACCCAGUGUGAUUCGUCACACUAUCAUUAACUGAAUCCAUAGGUUAAUGAGGCGAACCGGGGGAACUGAAACAUCUAAGUACCCCGAGGAAAAGAAAUCAACCGAGAUUCCCCCAGUAGCGGCGAGCGAACGGGGAGGAGCCCAGAGCCUGAAUCAGCAUGUGUGUUAGUGGAAGCGUCUGGAAAGGCGCGCGAUACAGGGUGACAGCCCCGUACACAAAAGCGCAUGUGCUGUGAGCUCGAUGAGUAGGGCGGGACACGUGGUAUCCUGUCUGAAUAUGGGGGGACCAUCCUCCAAGGCUAAAUACUCCUGACUGACCGAUAGUGAACCAGUACCGUGAGGGAAAGGCGAAAAGAACCCCGGCGAGGGGAGUGAAAAAGAACCUGAAACCGUGUACGUACAAGCAGUGGGAGCACAGGUUUACCUGUGUGACUGCG